rnacentral:rRNA from 1 species
GAUGAACGCUAGCUACAGGCUUAACACAUGCAAGUCGAGGGGAAACGACAUCGAAAGCUUGCUUUUGAUGGGCGUCGACCGGCGCACGGGUGAGUAACGCGUAUCCAACCUGCCCAUCACUUGGGGAUAACCUUGCGAAAGUAAGACUAAUACCCAAUGAUAUCUCUAGAAGACAUCUGAAAGAGAUUAAAGAUUUAUCGGUGAUGGAUGGGGAUGCGUCUGAUUAGCUUGUUGGCGGGGUAACGGCCCACCAAGGCAACGAUCAGUAGGGGUUCUGAGAGGAAGGUCCCCCACAUUGGAACUGAGACACGGUCCAAACUCCUACGGGAGGCAGCAGUGAGGAAUAUUGGUCAAUGGGCGAGAGCCUGAACCAGCCAAGUAGCGUGCAGGAAGACGGCCCUAUGGGUUGUAAACUGCGUUUAUAAGGGAAUAAAGUGAGAGUCGUGACUCUUUUUGUAUGUACCUUAUGAAUAAGGACCGGCUAAUUCCGUG